CCGUGAGUCCACUACGCAGUAACAGCGCUCCCUUCGUCACUGACGUAAUUUUUGGAAUCUCAUGGUAUUCUGUUAAGAAAUUUUACAUUACGUCUUGAUAAGUGGAGGGAGGUAACCUAGUGAGUUGUUGUCUAUUAAUAUCGUGACAAUUGACUCAUUUUAUUUUAUAAAAAGAGUUAAUUGUCAAAAUUUUCAUCAUACAUAAACAAAAUAUUUUUAAUAAAACAAAAUAGAGAACAAAAUGGUCGACGUUUGAAAAAUUAAUAAUAUUAAAAAAAAGAUAAACUGUGAAAAUAUCUCAAAAAUGACUUAUCUGAUGGAAAAUAAUUAGCCAGAUUAAAAUAGAAAAAUUAUUAAACCCAUCUGGCAAAGGGGCCGCUUAAAGCACGAAACAAGGGAUACCUAACAUCUGGAUAUAUAGUACAAAAUUUAAGAAUAUUAUCUUAACAAAAAGAUUAUUAUGUCACGCUGAAAGUGAUUCUUUCAGCAAAUGGUCUAAGGAUUCAAACUAAACAGGAUGGAUAGCCAUCAGCGGUAGUUGUCAAGAAUGAGGAA